GCUGCUUAUCACGGAAUUUGAAGAAUCUACAUUUACUGAUCAGGGAAUUUGCUGAAUCUACAUUUGCUGAACUCAUCUCUUAGGCCCAAGAACAGUUAUUUCAAAGUGCAUUUCUUUUAGACAAUAAACACAAAUACAAAAAAUUAUUCUUGUUUUGACAGUUUUUUAAGGUGUAGUGCACUACUUAUGAGACAAAUUAUAUCAAAAUUAUAGAAAAGUCUAUCGGCUCUAACUCAAAAUAUGGACAACUAUAAGUUAAGGUGGUCUGUAAUUCAAUACUAAAUUUUACAUUUCAUUAAGUACACUCAGUACACAAAUUAUUGUUUUACAGAAACUAUUAUUUGACAUUCCCUGAAAGUAGGAUGUUUCAUCCAUAUUCUGGGUUGUUUUUUUGGACUUGGCAUAACUCAAUGCAUGAAAAGUUUUAUGGAUGCUUUGUAAAACAGUUCAUUAACUCUGGUACUGCUCAAAUUACAAUAGUUUUACAGUUUAAUCAUCAAUCAAAAAACAUGUAUAUGAUACAAGUAGAAAUAAUGAACACAUGUACACUACACAACUUGUCAAAACAGCAAUAAAAAACUUUUGAAAGGAUUACGCAGAACCCCAAAGAUUUGUGUGUGUUACUGCUGUGUAAAGU
rnacentral:lncRNA from 1 species